rnacentral:rRNA from 1 species
UGGUAAUACCGGAUGCUCCGCUCCAUCGCAUGGUGGGGUGGGAAAUGCUUUUGCGGCAUGGGAUGGGGUCGCGUCCUAUCAGCUUGUUGGCGGGGUGAUGGCCCACCAAGGCGUUGACGGGUAGCCGGCCUGAGAGGGUGACCGGCCACAUUGGGACUGAGAUACGGCCCAGACUCCUACGGGAGGCAGCAGUGGGGAAUAUUGCACAAUGGGCGCAAGCCUGAUGCAGCGACGCCGCGUGCGGGAUGGAGGCCUUCGGGUUGUAAACCGCUUUUGUUCAAGGGCAAGGCACGGUUUCGGCCGUGUUGAGUGGAUUGUUCGAAUAAGCACCGGCUAACUACGUGCCAGCAGCCGCGGUAAUACGUAGGGUGCGAGCGUUAUCCGGAUUUAUUGGGCGUAAAGGGCUCGUAGGCGGUUCGUCGCGUCCGGUGUGAAAGUCCAUCGCCUAACGGUGGAUCUGCGCCGGGUACGGGCGGGCUGGAGUGCGGUAGGGGAGACUGGAAUUCCCGGUGUAACGGUGGAAUGUGUAGAUAUCGGGAAAA